rnacentral:lncRNA from 1 species
AAUCAGUUCUUUAAUUUUAAGAGUAUCUGAAUUAAAUGAUCAAUAACAAAUAUACUAGUUUACUUCAAGUAGCAUGGAAUAUGUGUAUUUUGUAAAAAGUCAACCAAAUGCUGAAAAUAGUGUAACUUUUAACUGUCAUGGUCUUUGUGUUAUGAGAUUUCUGCCUGUUAAAUUACGCCAUAGCCUUAAGGUGGGACAGCUGGGGCUAUGAGUGCCCUGGGUCAGGUCUCCUUUGAUAUGAACUUGGAAUAGCCAUCAAUUCUUCUAGCACUCAAAACUACGUUCACUGUAGAAAUAAAUGUCGACAUUGCCUUUUGAUUGGAAAGUAAAUCUCCUGAUAAACAUUAGCACAGAAAACUAGGUGAAUUCAAAUAGUCUUUAAU